rnacentral:rRNA from 1 species
GACGAACGCUGGCGGCGUGCUUAACACAUGCAAGUCGAACGGAAAGGCCCUGCUUUUGUGGGGUGCUCGAGUGGCGAACGGGUGAAUAACACGUGAGUAACCUGCCCUUGACUUUGGGAUAACUUCAGGAAACUGGGGCUAAUACCGGAUAGGAGCUCCUGCUGCAUGGUGGGGGUUGGAAAGUUUCGGCGGUUGGGGAUGGACUCGCGGCUUAUCAGCUUGUUGGUGGGGUAGUGGCUUACCAAGGCUUUGACGGGUAGCCGGCCUGAGAGGGUGACCGGCCACAUUGGGACUGAGAUACGGCCCAGACUCCUACGGGAGGCAGCAGUGGGGAAUAUUGCACAAUGGGCGGAAGCCUGAUGCAGCAACGCCGCGUGCGGGGUGACGGCCUUCGGGUUGUAAACCGCUUUCGCCUGUGACGAAGCGUGAGUGACGGUAAUGGGUAAAGAAGCACCGGCUAACUACGUGCCAGCAGCCGCGGUGAUACGUAGGGUGCGAGCGUUGUCCGGAUUUAUUGGGCGUAAAGGGCUCGUAGGUGGUUGAUCGCGUCGGAAGUGUAAUCUUGGGGCUUAACCCUGAGCGUGCUUUCGAUACGGGUUGACUUGAGGAAGGUAGGGGAGAAUGGAAUUCCUGGUGGAGCGGUGGAAUGCGCAGAUAUCAGGAGGAACACCAGUGGCGAAGGCGGUUCUCUGGGCCUUUCCUGACGCUGAGGAGCGAAAGCGUGGGGAGCGAACAGGCUUAGAUACCCUGGUAGUCCACGCUGUAAACGGUGGGUACUAGGUGUGGGGUCCAUUCCACGGGUUCCGUGCCGUAGCUAACGCUUUAAGUACCCCGCCUGGGGAGUACGGCCGCAAGGCUAAAACUCAAAGGAAUUGACGGGGCCCCGCACAAGCGGCGGAGCAUGCGGAUUAAUUCGAUGCAACGCGUAGAACCUUACCUGGGUUUGACAUGGAUCGGGAGUGCUCAGAGAUGGGUGUGCCUCUUUUGGGGUCGGUUCACAGGUGGUGCAUGGCUGUCGUCAGCUCGUGUCGUGAGAUGUUGGGUUAAGUCCCGCAACGAGCGCAACCCUUGUUCACUGUUGCCAGCACGUUAUGGUGGGGACUCAGUGGAGACCGCCGGGGUCAACUCGGAGGAAGGUGGGGAUGACGUCAAGUCAUCAUGCCCCUUAUGUCCAGGGCUUCACGCAUGCUACAAUGGCUGGUACAGAGAGUGGCGAGCCUGUGAGGGUGAGCGAAUCUCGGAAAGCCGGUCUCAGUUCGGAUUGGGGUCUGCAACUCGACCUCAUGAAGUCGGAGUCGCUAGUAAUCGCAGAUCAGCAACGCUGCGGUGAAUACGUUCCCGGG